UUUGCUGCUUUGAAGACAGCAUCAGACAUCCAUUGAAAAUCAAGACAGUUGGAGCAUUUGAGGGUCGGUUCUUCCAUGGACAAUUGUGGUGCAUAUGGCUAUUCUCACCACAAGCAAAGCAGGAAUGUGGAGUUGGAAGUUGAACUUUCAUGGAUCUUUUUUGGUUUGUGGCAUCUGCAAACCACUCAAAGUACGAGCAUAUUGAGCAUCUCAAGAACUUCUCAGCAACAUGAUCUUUAGUUUGAUCUUUCAACGACUUUCUUACUCCAUUGCAAGGGUAUAUAAAGAACUGUAAAAGAUGACCGUUGGGAACGAUCUGAUUUUCUGCCACGUCAUCGUCUGCCACGUGAUCGAUCUGCCAGACACGUCAUCAAGUGGUUAAUCCCAGUUAAAUAUGUUGAGUUAGGAUAGAGGGCAUUUUGGAAACAUUUAACAUCGUUUUUUUCUUGAAAAACCGUUAUGUCGCCCAAACCAUGACUGUUUUGUAGAUGAUUAGCAAAAGUACGAUGAAUUUGUGACUGAAUUAGAAAAAGUAUGACCAUUUUGUAAAUGGCCCAAGGAAAA